AUUGAACGCUGGCGGCAGGCCUAACACAUGCAAGUCGAACGGUAACAGGAAGCAGCUUGCUGCUUCGCUGACGAGUGGCGGACGGGUGAGGAAUGUCUGGGAAACUGCCUGAUGGAGGGGGAUAACUACUGGAAACGGUAGCUAAUACCGCAUAACGUCGCAAGACCAAAGAGGGGGACCUUAGGGCCUCUUGCCAUCGGAUGUGCCCAGAUGGGAUUAGCUAGUAGGUGGGGUAACGGCUCACCUAGGCGACGAUCCCUAGCUGGUCUGAGAGGAUGACCAGCCACACUGGAACUGAGACACGGUCCAGACUCCUACGGGAGGCAGCAGUGGGGAAUAUUGCACAAUGGGCGCAAGCCUGAUGCAGCCAUGCCGCGUGUAUGAAGAAGGCCUUCGGGUUGUAAAGUACUUUCAGCGGGGAGGAAGGGAGUAAAGUUAAUACCUUUGCUCAUUGACGUUACCCGCAGAAGAAGCACCGGCUAACUCCGUG
rnacentral:rRNA from 1 species